AAUCAACGCUGGCGGCGUGCCUCAGACAUGCAAGUCGAACGAUUAAACUUUCCUUCGGGAAAGAUAUAAAGUGGCGCACGGGUGAGUAACACGUAGGUAAUGUACCUUUGGGUGGGAAUAACCAUCGGAAACGAUGGCUAAUACCGCAUAAUGCAGCGGCAUCGCAAGAUGACAGUUGUUAAAGCGAGCAAUCGCGCCUAAAGAGCAGCCUGCGGCAGAUAGGUAGUUGGUAAGGUAAUGGCUUACCAAGCCUGCGAUCUGUAACCGACCUGAGAGGGUGGUCGGUCACACUGACACUGAAUAACGGGUCAGACUCCUACGGGAGGCAGCAGUCGGGAAUUUUGGGCAAUGGGCGAAAGCCUGACCCAGCAACGCCGCGUGAAGGACGAAGUCUUUCGGGAUGUAAACUUCGUAAGAAUAGGAAGAAUAAAUGACGGUACUA
rnacentral:rRNA from 1 species